rnacentral:tRNA from 1 species
GGAGAUAUAGCUCAGUUGAUAGAGUGCUUGCCUUGCAUGCAAAAGGCCCUGGGUUCAAUCCCCAGAACUGCCC